rnacentral:rRNA from 1 species
CAAUUAAGUCACAACGAGAUGAGUUGUUUGAUAGGUGUUAAGUAUAAGUAUAAUGAUACAUUCAGCUAAGGCAUUCUAACAGACUGAGAAAUUAAUUUAUAC